rnacentral:rRNA from 1 species
GAUGAACGCUGGCGGCGUGCCUAACACAUGCAAGUCGAACGAAGCACCUGAUACGGAACCCUUCGGGGAGAAGAAUUUUGUGACUUAGUGGCGGACGGGUGAGUAACGCGUGGGCAACCUGCCCAGUACAGGGGGAUAACAGUUGGAAACAACUGCUAAUACCGCAUAAGCCUGUAGUGUCGCAUGACACCUCAGGAAAACUCCGGUGGUACUGGAUGGGCCCGCGUCUGAUUAGCUAGUUGGAGGGGUAACGGCCCACCAAGGCGACGAUCAGUAGCCGGCUUGAGAGAGUGACCGGCCACAUUGGGACUGAGACACGGCCCAA